UACCCGCUGAAUUUAAGCAUAUAAGUAAGUGGUGGAAAUUAAACCAAAUGGGAUUCCUUAAGUAAUUGCGAAUGAACAAGGACAUGCUUAGCUUGACAAUUGGAGCCUCUGGCUUCGACUUGUAUUUUUGAAAUGUAUUACCAACAGAGGUGCAGGUGUCAGCCUAUUGAAAGAAAGCGUCAAUGAGGGUGAGAAUCCUGUUUGUCAUGUGCAAUCCUCUGUGCACGGUGUAUGUUUGCUGAGUCACACUCCUUGGCAUUGGAAUGCAAAGUGGGUGGUAAGUUUCAUGUAAAGGUAAAUAUAGGAUUGAGACUGAUAGCACACAAGUACCAUGAGGGAAAUAUGAAAAGGACUUUGAAAAGAGAAUUAAAUGAGUUUGUAUUUGCUGAACAGAAAAUAAACAGAUUUGAUGUUGCUUGGUGAGAUUGUGGUGCUUGCUUGACAAUAGGUUUUGAUUGUGGGUGUGAUGAUUCUUGCUUUGCUUGCCAGUUUCUAUUUGUACAUUUGAUUACCCUUGCACAUGAAUGGUAAUUUUCCUGCGGGGUUUGGAUUGCAUGUGUUUGUGAUGAUUUGUGUUUUGAUACAUGUGUCUGGUGCUUUUGUAAUUGCUCAUUUCUUGAAGCUGGGCCUACCCUACUAGAGCUUACAAGCCCUGGCACACAAUUGCUGGCAAAAUGCUUCUGCUUGACCCGUCUUGAAACACGGACCAAGGAGUCUAACAGAUGUGCAAGCUUGAGGGUUGCAUACCUUUGUGCGCAAUGAAAGUGUUGGCUGGGAUAUUUGCACCAGCAGCCGACCAAUUAGCAGACAGAGGUUCGAGUUGGAGCAUAUCUAUUAGGACCCGAAAGAUGGUGAACUAUGCCUGAACAGAAUGAAUUCAGAGGAAACUCUGAUGGAGGUUCGUAUCGAUACUGACGUGCAAAU
rnacentral:rRNA from 1 species